UGGGGAGGGGGGCAAGGAGAGAAAGGACUACAGAUACUCCAUGAUUCAGGGGAGAAACCAUGUGCAUGAGGGCAGAGAGAGGAAGAAUCCUGAACUAGAGGACUCUGACCUAAGACCAAAGAAUGCUCUAGGAGUGAAGAAAGAAUUUAAACAACCAAGUAUCACUAGAAGUGAAAGUACAGAUUCCAAUAUUUGAAGGUACAAAUCUGAACUUGAGAGAAGUCAGCAAACAUUGAUUACAGGAGACUUAUCACUCAGGAGGACACCACAGAAGAAUUUUUCUGCUCCUUUAACACCAAAUCAAAAUCACAAUGGUCACUCCCCCUCCCCCCUAGUAUGCAAUUGAAUAAAAUGUAAAUUCCUGUGAAAGUACAGGU